UUGGCCUACGGGAGGCAGCAGUGAGGAAUAUUGGUCAAUGGGCGGAAGCCUGAACCAGCCAAGUCGCGGGAGGGAAUAAGGCCCUACGGGUCGUAAACCUCUUUUGCCGGGGAGCAAGGGCGGGGACGUGUCCCGGCCCGGAGAGUACCCGGAGAAAAAGCAUCGGCUAACUCCGUGCCAGCAGCCGCGGUAAUACGGAGGAUGCGAGCGCUAUCCGGAUUUAUUGGGUUUAAAGGGUGCGCAGGCGGCCUGUUAAGUCAGCGGUAAAAGCCCGGGGCUCAAC
rnacentral:rRNA from 1 species